GAUCAUGGCUCAGGAUGAACGCUAGCUACAGGCUUAACACAUGCAAGUCGAGGGGAAACGACAUCGAAAGCUUGCUUUUGAUGGGCGUCGACCGGCGCACGGGUGAGUAACGCGUAUCCAACCUGCCCACCACUUGGGGAUAACCUUGCGAAAGUAAGACUAAUACCCAAUGAUAUCCCACGAAGGCAUCCGAAUGGGAUUAAAGAUUUAUCGGUGAUGGAUGGGGAUGCGUCUGAUUAGCUUGUUGGCGGGGUAACGGCCCACCAAGGCUACGAUCAGUAGGGGUUCUGAGAGGAAGGUCCCCCACAUUGGAACUGAGACACGGUCCAAACUCCUACGGGAGGCAGCAGUGAGGAAUAUUGGUCAAUGGGCGAGAGCCUGAACCAGCCAAGUAGCGUGCAGGAUGACGGCCCUAUGGGUUGUAAACUGCUUUUAUAAGGGAAUAAAGUGGGUCUCGUGAGACUUUUUGCAUGUACCUUAUGAAUAAGGACCGGCUAAUUCCGUG
rnacentral:rRNA from 1 species